GCUGACGAUAGUGAUACACCUGAAGAUGGAGACCCAGGGACAAACUGACUUGCGGUACCUUGAGACUGGAGUGAUCCACCAUAAGCAGCACCUCCCUGCAGGGUGAGUGGCAGAGAGGACCCAGUCUGGGUGCCAUAGCUAGAGGUAAACUGCUUCCGUGAACUCAGGACUGUGGCAGACUGGCUGGCAGCACCUUGGGGUGAGGAUAGUGGUACACUUGGAUAGGAGGAUGGAGACCCAGGGGCAAACUGACUUGCGGUACCUUGAGGCUGGAGUGAUCCACCAUAAGCAGCACCUCCCUGCAGGGUGAGUGGCAGAGAGGACCCAGUCUGGGUGCCAUAGCUAGAGGUAAACUGCUUCCGUGAACUCAGGACUGUGGCAGACUGGCUGGCAGCACCUUGGGGUGAGGAUAGUGAUACACUUGGAUAGGAGGAUGGAGACCCAGGGGCAAACUGACUUGCAGUACCUUGAGGCUGGAGUGAUCCACCAUAAGUGGUGCUUCCCUGCAGGGUGAGUGGCAGAGAGGACCCUGACUGGGUGCCAGAGCUAGAGGUAAACUGCUUCCGUGAACUCAGGACUGUGGCAGACUGGCUGGCAGCACCUUGGGGUGAGGAUAGUGAUACACUUGGAUAGGAGGAUGGAGACCCAGGGGCAAGCUGACUUGCAGUACCUUGAGGCUGGAGUGAUCCACCAUAAGUGGGGCUUCCCUGCAGGGCAAGUGGCAGAGAGGACCCUGACUGGGUGCCAUAGCUAGAGGUAAACUGCUUCCGUGAACUCAGGACUGUGGCAGACUGGCUGGCAGCACCUUGGGGUGAGGAUAGUGAUACACUUGGAUAGGAGGAUGGAGACCCAGGGGCAAACUGACUUGCAGUACCUUGAGGCUGGAGUGAUCCACCAUAAGUGGUGCUUCCCUGCAGGGUGAGUGGCAGAGAGGACCCUGACUGGGUGCCAGAGCUAGAGGUAAACUGCUUCUGUGAACUAGAGAAGGAUGGAGACCCAGGGGCAAAUUGACUUGUGGUACCUUGAGGCUGUACAGAACCACUGUAAGUGCUACUCAUUCCUUGUGAGGCUAAACCAAUAGAGGUCCCAAACAGAGCCCCCGAGCCACUUGUUGCCUGGCUAUAAACAGCACGUUGUGGCAUGGGAACACUCACAUAUUUGGUAGAUGACGCAGGGGCAUACAGACCCAGAGUGCCCUGAGGCUUCAGAUAUAAGCUAGAAGUAGAGCUACUACCUCCCUGCACAGGGAAACGACUGGAAGUUAAUGGAGUGCCAGGACUGCUUUGGGUGCUUGUGGACUGGCUAGAAACCCUUAUAGGCAAGGGGCCAAACUUCCCAUACAUCAGGGAUCCUGGGGCAUACGGACUAGAGUUAAACAAUUGGGACACACUAUAACUGCCACCUUCUACUUGUGUGGGGAUAAAUUGCCCAGAACUUCCAGACAAUUCAGGCCCAGCACUGCCCUGAGAAGUGGAGCCCUGAGUCUGGGUAGACAAAAUGCUUUGAGAAAGGCUACCCUGAGUAUCUAGAAGUGAAGCAGGACCAGUUGACUGGGAAUCAGAACUGCUUUUAGAGCUACCUAUAAACAAGCUGGGAGAGCCCUGACCAUUAGUAAACUGGCUAGAGACCUCCAAUGAUGAGGGCAGAAGCUGACCAGAGGUUUGAGAUUCAGGAGACAAGUCAGACGAGCUAAGCCCUACCAUUUCCCCUUGAAAGAAAGAGCCAGAAGCUUCCAACAAACUGCCAGAACUAUCCUGAGAGCUAGAACUAUACAGACUGGGGGGACUCUGAUCACUGGUAGACUGACUAGAAACAGAUGAAGAACUGAGCUUGGUAUAGGAGUCUGGGGUAUAGUGACUAGAGGCACCUUGAGACUGAAACAAACGACUGUAACUGCUUUCAUCCUGAGGUGAGAUGGCUUGACUAGAGCCUUCUGAAAGUGGCACUGGGCUACCUUGAGAAGUGUAAGUGGCACCUGGAGCAGAUGAACUGCUGUAGGAGAUACUCUCCUGAGAGAACACAGGCAAAGCGGCUUCCGCAGAUUCAACACCAGAGGUUUCCUGGGAGCUGGACAUGUACAAACUAGGGAAGCUCUGAUCGCUGGUGGACUGGCCAGAAGUGCUUUGUGUAGAAACACUAGCAGUAUCUGUAAUGGUUGUUCCAGAGCCCUGGAGCAAUGUCAAACUGCCUGCUUGCUUUUCACUUAAGGGUAGAGGCAAGGAAGCAAAAACUGAGCUGCUUGGAGCAGUUUGGGCAUAGGACAUCGAUUCAUGGUGGCUGGAAUCAUGACCUUUUACAAACUGGAGCAAGUUAAACCUUUUCAGGGGUCUGUUAGUGAAUAAACUUGAGCCCACUUCUUCAGGCAAAGUCCCAGUCACAGGGACCUCUGAAACAGAUGACUGGACUGCAUGAGGUGAGAAAGUAUUGUCAGAAGGUUGACCCCACCGCUGGUGGGCAUUUGAAUAAGCUCCACCUGUGAAUUAGACAAAAUAAAAAGCUUUGUAGACGGACCUCAUAAUUUAAAAAAAAAAAAACAAACAAAAAAACCCCAAGACAAGGAGAAAGAAAUUACCUUUAAAUCCAUAAGCA